rfam:Acetohalobium arabaticum DSM 5501, complete genome.
UAAAUCCCAUCAGGGUAAAGGUUAGCCACCAGCUCUGUAUCGAGUCUUGGAGAGGUUAAGUAACGUAAUCUUUUAAGCGUAGACAGAAAGUUAGCAAGGUAGAAUCGAUUGGAUUAGUUUGCUAGUGGUGAAUGGUAUUGAGCUCCGAAAACCAUGUACCUACAGAAUUAAAGUUAUCAUAGUUGAAGAAGA